rnacentral:rRNA from 1 species
CAGUAGCCGCGGUAAUACAGAGGGUGCAAGCGUUAAUCGGAUUUACUGGGCGUAAAGCGUGCGUAGGUGGCUGUUUAAGUCGGAUGUGAAAGCCCUGGGCUUAACCUGGGAACUGCAUUCGAUACUGGAUAGCUAGAGAUCGGUAGAGGGCAGCGGAAUUCCGGGUGUAGCGGUGAAAUGCGUAGAUAUCCGGAGGAACACCGAUGGCGAAGGCAACUGCCUGGGCCUGAUCUGACACUGAGGCACGAAAGCGUGGGUAGCAAACAGGAUUAGAUACCCGCGUAGUCCCUGUCUCUUAUAC